rnacentral:rRNA from 1 species
AGAGUUUGAUCCUGGCUCAGGACGAACGCUGGCGGCGUGCUUAACACAUGCAAGUCACGGGGGCUCGCAAGAGCAACCGGCGAACGGGUGCGUAACACGUGAGGAACCUGCCGAUCUGCGGGGGAUAGCCGGCCCAACGGCCGGGUAAUACCGCAUACGCUCUUUCUGGGGAGUCCUGGGAAGAGGAAACCUCCGGGGCAGAUCGAGGGUCUCGCGGCCUAUCAGCUAGUUGGCGAGGUCACGGCUCACCAAGGCGACGACGGGUAGCUGGUCUGAGAGGAUGGCCAGCCACAUUGGGACUGAGAAACGGCCCAGACUCCUACGGGAGGCAGCAGUGGGGAAUCUUGCGCAAUGGUCGAAAGACUGACGCAGCGACGCCGCGUGUGGGAGGACGCCUUUCGGGGUGUAAACCACUGUUGCCCGGGACGAAUAGCCAGUUUCGACUGGCCUGACGGUACCGGGUGAGGAAGCACCGGCUAACUCCGUGCCAGCCGCCGCGGUAAUUC